rnacentral:rRNA from 1 species
GAUGAACGCUGACAGCAUGCUUAACACAUGCAAGUCAACUGUGGCGGACGGGUGAGUAACGCGUAAAGAACUUGCCUCACAGAUAGGGACAACAUUUGGAAACGAAUGCUAAUACCUGAUACUGUGAGAGAGCUUUGCGUCCCAUUAGCUAGUUGGAGAGGUAACGGCUCACCAAGGCGAUGAUGGGUAGCCGGCCUGAGAGGGUGAUCGGCCACAAGGGGACUGGGACACGGCCGUUACUCCUACGGGAGGAAGGAGUGGGGAAUAUUGGACAAAGGACCAGAGUCUGAUCCAGCAAUUGGGUGGGAAAAAUGAAGGUUUCGGAAUGUAAAGUUCUUUAAGUUGGGAAGCGGUACCAACAGAAGAGGUGACGGCUAAAUACGUGCCAGCAGCCGCGGUAUUA